rnacentral:rRNA from 1 species
AACGAACGCUGGCGGCGUGUUUAAGACAUGCAAGUCGUACGGGGAAUGAGGAUAGCUUGCUAAUUUCAUUCCUAGUGGCGCACGGGUGAGUAACACGUGAGUAACAUGCCUCGUAGAGGGGAAUAGCCCGCCGAAAGGCGGAUUAAUACCCCAUGGUCCCGCAAGGGUAAAGGUGGCUUCGGCUAUCGCUACGAGAUUGGCUCGCGUCCUAUCAGCUUGUUGGUGAGGUAACGGCUCACCAAGGCGACGACGGGUAGCUGGUCUGAGAGGACGAUCAGUCACACUGGAACUGAGACACGGUCCAGACACCUACGGGUGGCAGCAGUCGAGAAUAAUUCACAAUGGGGGCAACCCUGAUGGUGCAACGCCGCGUGGAGGAUGAAGGCCCUAGGGUCGUAAACUCCUGUCAUUUGAGAGUAAGACCUGGUCGUUAAUAGCGGACAGGGUUGAUAGUAUCAAAAGAGGAAGGGACGGCUAACUUCG